rnacentral:lncRNA from 1 species
UGUGUGUGUGUGUAUGUAUAAGAUCAAGUCGUCUUACCGCUAGUACGCCUCAUUCACGAAGCCGGUCUAUAAGGGGCGGUAUAAGGUUGUUGCCUAUAAAAUGGCAACUUAAUGGGUGUUCCCUCUCACCCUCCGCUUCCUUGAUUGGUGGAGGGGCGUUAUCCGAACGGGUAAGACAAGGACAUAUAAAUUCUCUCCGCUUCCUUGAUUGGUGGAGGGUCGUUAUCCGAACGGGUAAGACAAGGACAUAUAAAUUCUCAUUAAAAUUACGAUGAAUAUUAUAAAGUAACUAAAUGUUUUAUUAAAUUCCCAAUCUUAGUUACUUUUGGAGAAAUGUGAAUAAGGUGCUAAUCCAUGAAAUUACACUUUACACUUUGAUUAAGUCGUUGGUGGAGCGUGUGUGGUAAACCGGCACACUAACUUGGACUUAACAAGGUAGGUAAAGGGUGACUUAAGGUUUAUCAUAGUAUCGAUGGAGCGUAUGUGGUUUACCGGCACAUCGAUUGAGUGACAAACUUUAAGGGUACCAAGUGAUUUGCAUGGUUACUUCACACCUCGUUUUGUGAUCCUUGGUAUCCCAGUCACAAAAC